UGGGGAAUCUUGGACAAUGGGCGCAAGCCUGAUCCAGCCAUGCCGCGUGGAUGAUGAAGGCCUUAGGGUUGUAAAAUCCUUUCGCCGAGGACGAUAAUGACGGUACUCGGAGAAGAAGCUCCGGCUAACUUCGUGCCAGCAGCCGCGGUAAUACGAAGGGGGCUAGCGUUGUUCGGAUUUACUGGGCGUAAAGCGCGUGUAGGCGGGUCGUUAAGUUGGGGGUGAAAUCCCGGGGCUCAACCUCGGAACUGCCUCUGAUACUGCCAGUCUAGAGUCCGGAAGAGGUGGGUGGAAUUCCUAGUGUAGAGGUGAAAUUCGCAGAUAUUAGGAAGAACACCGGUGGCGAAGGCGGCCCACUGGUCCGGUACUGACGCUGAGGUGCGAAAGCGUGGGGAGCAAACAGGAUUAGAUACCCCAGUAGUCCCUGAGCGGGCUGGCAAGGCGCAU
rnacentral:rRNA from 1 species